UCCAAAAUUUUUUUUAAAAGUAUCCAAGGAUGAGAAAAGUUUGAAGACAUAUUUAGAGAGCAACAGCUUUGCCACAUUUGAUAUCUCAUGAGAAGAUAAAGCAAUUGUAUUUAAGACACAAAA